UCCGAAGCUUCGGCUUCGGCAGGAGAGGUA
rnacentral:misc_RNA from 2 species